rnacentral:rRNA from 1 species
UGGGGAAUUUUGGACAAUGGGGGAAACCCUGAUCCAGCCAUUCCGCGUGAGUGAAGAAGGCCUUCGGGUUGUAAAGCUCUUUCGGCAGGAACGAAACGGUUUGCCCUAAUACGGUGAGCUAAUGACGGUACCUGAAGAAGAAGCACCGGCUAACUACGUGCCAGCAGCCGCGGUAAUACGUAGGGUGCGAGCGUUAAUCGGAAUUACUGGGCGUAAAGCGUGCGCAGGCGGUUAUGUAAGACAGAUGUGAAAUCCCCGGGCUUAACCUGGGAACUGCGUUUGUGACUGCAUAACUUGAGUGUGGCAGAGGGGGGUGGAAUUCCACGUGUAGCAGUGAAAUGCGUAGAGAUGUGGAGGAACACCGAUGGCGAAGGCAGCCCCCUGGGUCAACACUGACGCU